GGAUGCGGCAGCACAUAUUAAAAAAAAAAAAUUGGAAAGAUACAAAGAUUAGCACGGCCCCUGCGCAAGGAUGACAUGCAGAUUCAAGAAGUGUUCCAUGUUUAA
rnacentral:snRNA from 1 species